rnacentral:rRNA from 1 species
CCUACGGGCGGCAGCAGUGGGGAAUAUUGGACAAUGGGCGAAAGCCUGAUCCAGCCAUGCCGCGUGUGUGAAGAAGGCCUUCGGGUUGUAAAGCACUUUCAGUGGGGAAGAAAGCCUUGGGGCUAAUACCCUCGAGGAAGGACAUCACCCACAGAAGAAGCACCGGCUAACUCCGUGCCAGCAGCCGCGGUAAUACGGAGGGUGCGAGCGUUAAUCGGAAUUACUGGGCGUAAAGCGCGCGUAGGCGGUCUGAUAAGCCGGUUGUGAAAGCCCCGGGCUCAACCUGGGAACGGCAUCCGGAACUGUCAGGCUAGAGUGCAGGAGAGGAAGGUAGAAUUCCCGGUGUAGCGGUGAAAUGCGUAGAGAUCGGGAGGAAUACCAGUGGCGAAGGCGGCCUUCUGGACUGACACUGACGCUGAGGCGCGAAAGCGUGGGUAGCAAACAGGAUUAGAUACCCGGUAGUC